rnacentral:rRNA from 1 species
GACGAACCGUGCAAACGUUAUUCGGAAUCACUGGGCGUAAAGGGUGCGUAGGCGGGUCUUUAAGUCAGGGGUGAAAUCCUGGAGCUCAACUCCAGAACUGCCUUUGAUACUGAAGAUCUUGAGUUCGGGAGAGGUGAGUGGAACUGCGAGUGUAGAGGUGAAAUUCGUAGAUAUUCGCAAGAACACCAGUGGCGAAGGCGGCUCACUGGCCCGAUACUGACGCUGAGGCACGAAAGCGUGGGGAGCAAACAGG